rnacentral:hammerhead_ribozyme from 1 species
AUUCGACUGACGAGUCCUAAGUAGGACGAAACGUGCAUCUAGGAU